rnacentral:tRNA from 1 species
GGCUUCAUAGCUCAGUUGGUAGAGCAAUGCACUAGUAACGCGGAGGUCAUUUUUUCAAAUCCCGUUGAAGGCA